rnacentral:rRNA from 1 species
GGCACCCCGAGUGGUAGCCACUAUUAUUGGGCCUAAAGCGUUCGUAGCCGGUUUAGUAAAUUCUUGGGUAAAUCGUACAGCUUAACUGUGCGGAUUCCGGGGACACUACUAGACUUGAGACCGGGAGAGAUUAGAGGUACUUGCAGGGGAGCGGUGAAAUGUUGUAAUCCUGCAGGGACCACCAGUGGCGAAGGCGUCUAAUCAUAACGGCUCUGACGGUGAGGAACGAAACCCUGGGGCGCAAACGGG